UAGUGGCGAACGGGUGAGUAACACGUGAGCAACCUGCCCUGGACUCUGGGAUAAGCGCUGGAAACGGUGUCUAAUACCGGAUAUGAGCCACGGCCGCAUGGUCGGUGGUUGGAAAGAUUUUUUGGUCUGGGAUGGGCUCGCGGCCUAUCAGCUUGUUGGUGAGGUAAUGGCUCACCAAGGCGUCGACGGGUAGCCGGCCUGAGAGGGUGACCGGCCACACUGGGACUGAGACACGGCCCAGACUCCUACGGGAGGCAGCAGUGGGGAAUAUUGCACAAUGGGCGGAAGCCUGAUGCAGCAACGCCGCGUGAGGGAUGACGGCCUUCGGGUUGUAAACCUCUUUUAGCAGGGAAGAAGCGUGAGUGACGGUACCUGCAGAAAAAGCGCCGGCUAACUACGUGCCAGCAGCCGCGGUAAUACGUAGGGCGCAAGCGUUAUCCGGAAUUAUUGGGCGUAAAGAGCUCGUAGGCGGUUUGUCGCGUCUGCUGUGAAAUCCCGAGGCUCAACUUCGGGCUUGCAGUGGGUACGGGCAGACUAGAGUGCGGUAGGGGAGAUUGGAAUUCCUGGUGUAGCGGUGGAAUGCGCAGAUAUCAGGAGGAACACCGAUGGCGAAGGCAGAUCUCUGGGCCGUAACUGACGCUGA
rnacentral:rRNA from 1 species